ensembl:lncRNA
AUUUAAACGGGGCUGAUUCACUUUCACCGUGGCCUGAGGCUAUCAAACUUGAACUGCAGGUAAAACUUUACAGAGCCCUCCAGAUGAACCUACAGCCCGGUCACUGUGUUAGCCUGUAGAGAGAGCAGCAGCAGCAGCAGCAGCAGCAGCAUGCAUGCAUUGUCCCAGGAUCUAUUACAGUAUAUGGGUGCCCCCUAGCGUAUGAAUUUUUUUUGCUUCAAAUAAGAUUCAAUUUAGAGGAGCCGUCGGACACGGAAACCGAUUCAGUCUGCUCUCUCGCAUCGACCAAACUAACGAGCACCAUUUUAAACUGAUGACUGUUUGUUUAAAUUCUGUUUUACAUGACUUGGACGGCAAACCUUUGAGAGUUGCCAAAGUUGGAUUUACUUUUUGCCACUUCAGGCAGUCCCAGCGGUGAUCCCGUGAACAUGGAAAGUCUGUAAAUAAAAUACUCCGCAAGGUACUGGCUUAUCGAGGACCCAGUUUUGCUUCAAAUGAAACUGCUGCUGAAGUGCCCAUCGGCCAAGCAGAUUAAAUCCCAUCUGUCCCAGUGGAGCUGUACGGUGACCAUCAGUACAACAGUGCAGUUGUACCAGGCACUUGUGAUAUGUGUCUCUUUGAGCCCCUCACUUUUCUUUUUUGAAAGAGAAGAGAGGGCAGUCCGCUUGCUUCACACUUUUUUUUUUCAUGCACUCAGAGAGAAAAAGUUUGGGAGAAGACAGAAGAGAGAAAGCCGUAGCAGCAUUCAGUCUCGAGCCAGACGUGGCUCACAUGUGGCCCCAAAGGCAGCAGACAGUGUAUUGAAUUACUGUAACUCAAGGUGUAAUGUGGUAGCAGUGGGGGAUAUGUAAAAACUACACAAACGGAUGUAGUGGAGGCUUACUUCAGCUUCAGCUUACCGUUACAGCUAUUCAGUGUUAAAGUGUGUUGUUUCUGUUCUUGAAGGUCAUUUACAGUCAUUUAUAGCUAUAACAGCAGCUUACAUUCUCAAAUGAUAAUUGAUUAACCACUUAUUUCAAACUGCUUCUGUUUUAAAAGCCUUGUAUCUCCAGUUUAGUGAUUUUCGUAUAUGUUCCUUCCUUACUUAAUAACUUUAAUGUUUGUAGCAUGAGCUCUCACAUUUGUGAGAUCUAUACACAGUUUUUAUGUGAUGGUCUACCACGUAAAGUUAUGAGAUAACCAGUUAAGCAUUAAUGUUUUAUAUGUUAGUCAAGAAGCUAAUUAAAUAGUAUUCUGUAUAAUAACAAUUUGCCACAUUUGCCACUAAUAAAGUUUUAAGAUAUGAGCUGUGUUUUGACUGCUUUUCUCUUUAUAGCACCUACUGUAUCAUACAUGUUAAGAAUUAAGUUUUCCAGUUUUACUGUGAUUGUUUGCCUUAAAUCUAUGAGCUAUCAGUGUCUUGCUCUAGUAAUUUUGCAGGAUGCUUGGUCUUUUGGCGCUUUUAAGGUGCUAACGAUGCUCACUGAAAUUAAGAUAAUCAAGUCCUAUUCAUUUUAUAUUUGAAUGAUAUUCCUUUGGCGUUAUUGUAAAAAAAUUACAAUAUCCUAUAUGCAUCUCUUGUAAUUUAAUGAUUAGGAGUAAAGUACAAAUUAAGGAACGUCUUGAUUGUCCAACUACAGCUUCUGCAGUUUUACCGUAAGUUUCAAAACUGAGAAGCAUUUGUCAGUUUUGAGAUUUAUGUGACUUACAGGGGUUUAACACAGUCGCACAUAAGCUGUAGCUGUGCAAUAUAACUUGAACCAAUUCUGAACCCAAGAAAUGCAGACUGAGAAAUCAAUCCAGAGUAAAUGUUCUGUCAUCAAAAUGUAUAUCAUUGUAAAAGCACUGCAGUCAUUGAUACUGUAACUAUGACCCAAACCAGCAGUCCAUGAAUAUUGACAAUUUUAACUACAUCUCCACAGACACUUUUUCAGCAUUUGUUAUCAGAACAUGUUCUAUAAUAGCAAAUAUUGCAAUGCCAUUUUUUAAGUCACAUUUAAUCCACAUUUAAUCAGUGGUCUAUGAGGCAGGGAAUAAACGGAAGAUGGAACGUGAAUUGGAUCUGGAAAGACCUCCACAUCCGUAAUGACUCGACAUAAGAAGAAGAAAAUUUCAUGACUUCGAGAGUGAAAGCCAUUUGAAACCAAAAAUCACGCAUUGUUUAUCUCAGUUACGUUAUCUUCACGUGAGGACACACAGGAGUUACUUGUAGCUUUAUUUUAGAACGUGAGCCGCAACAGUUACAGAGUUGAAUAUUAGACUUGUUUUUCUUACAAUAAAUUGAGAGGGGAGUUGUAAAAAUGUUGUGAUAAUGCGCAGAAGUUGAAAAAAGAUAAUGUCUUUUUGUGAUCUGAAUUAUUAUUUUGAACAGUGUGUAUUUGAUAUACAAAGUUUUCAGAUCAGUGUGUAGCAACUAUAUUUUGCUACCACACUUCUUAUCCGCUAAUGAAUGAGGGUUGGGAUUAGCAUUUUGUUAUUAAUGCAAACUCUCGAACAUACUACUAGAAGUCACAAAACAGUAAAUGAAUUCAGUAUGUAGUACUUCAAGCUGUGCUGUAGCGGGAUUAUUGCCCAAAGGUAAAAGUGCAUCUUCUAAAUGUGAACUGUGAAAAUAAACGAGCAAACAACUGUAAUGUUAAACAAACUUGUACAUAAAUGCUCUAAAUGCCUGAAGAUAUCACAAAUUCUAUUCAUGUCUUUUUGUUUUGUUUGUAAUUGUCCAUGAGUAAUCUGUCCUUUUGUAUGUAAAAGUAUAAGAACACGGAGAGGAGGUGUAACUAUUGUUGCUUUCUGGCAUGUUUUAGUGUGACAAAAUUAAACACCUGAUGCUGACACAUGACAGCAUUGUCUUUUACAUCCCUCAGUUAUAUAUUUUUUAAACAAGUAAGAUAAUUUAAUUCAUUGUAUUUUUUUAAUACCAAGAUGGCUUUUGGUUAUAUCAUGGUAACUAGGCUACCCUAAUUAUCAGACCCUCAAAUUAAGCGGCACCACAGACAAUAGCGUUGCUUCUGCAGCAUCCCCCCUAAAUUAUAAUGAUUUAUGAGAGAAUCAUUUAGAUAACUGCCACUGUGAAACCUUGAUUAUUUUGUAUCCUUAGGCUAAGACAGUCCUGUGUUUCAUUAUUUUGAUUGUAUUCAAACAGCAUAUACUUUAUAUAUCCACAGAUAGCUUAUUCAACAUUUUGUAAUUUUACAAAUUACAAUACCGAAAAGCAACAA